AGAGUUUGAUCCUGGCUCAGGAUGAACGCUAGCUACAGGCUUAACACAUGCAAGUCGAGGGGCAGCAUUUUAGUUUGCUUGCAAACUAAAGAUGGCGACCGGCGCACGGGUGAGUAACACGUAUCCAACCUGCCGAUAACUCGGGGAUAGCCUUUCGAAAGAAAGAUUAAUAUCCGAUGGUAUAUUAAAACCGCAUGGUUUUACUAUUAAAGAAUUUCGGUUAUCGAUGGGGAUGCGUUCCAUUAGUUUGUUGGCGGGGUAACGGCCCACCAAGACUACGAUGGAUAGGGGUUCUGAGAGGAAGGUCCCCCACAUUGGAACUGAGACACGGUCCAAACUCCUACGGGAGGCAGCAGUGAGGAAUAUUGGUCAAUGGGCGAGAGCCUGAACCAGCCAAGUAGCGUGAAGGAUGACUGCCCUAUGGGUUGUAAACUUCUUUUAUAAAGGAAUAAAGUCGGGUAUGGAUACCCGUUUGCAUGUACUUUAUGAAUAAGGAUCGGCUAACUCCGUGCCAGCAGCCGCGGUAAUACGGAGGAUCCGAGCGUUAUCCGGAUUUAUUGGGUUUAAAGGGAGCGUAGAUGGAUGUUUAAGUCAGUUGUGAAAGUUUGCGGCUCAACCGUAAAAUUGCAGUUGAUACUGGAUAUCUUGAGUGCAGUUGAGGCAGGCGGAAUUCGUGGUGUAGCGGUGAAAUGCUUAGAUAUCACGAAGAACUCCGAUUGCGAAGGCAGCUCACUGGAGUGUAACUGACGCUGAUGCUCGAAAGUGUGGGUAUCAAACAGGAUUAGAUACCCUGGUAGUCCACACAGUAAACGAUGAAUACUCGCUGUUUGCGAUAUACAGUAAGCGGCCAAGCGAAAGCGUUAAGUAUUCCACCUGGGGAGUACGCCGGCAACGGUGAAACUCAAAGGAAUUGACGGGGGCCCGCACAAGCGGAGGAACAUGUGGUUUAAUUCGAUGAUACGCGAGGAACCUUACCCGGGCUUAAAUUGCAAAUGAAUUAUGGGGAAACCCAUAGGCCGUAAGGCAUUUGUGAAGGUGCUGCAUGGUUGUCGUCAGCUCGUGCCGUGAGGUGUCGGCUUAAGUGCCAUAACGAGCGCAACCCUUGUUGUCAGUUACUAACAGGUUCCGCUGAGGACUCUGACAAGACUGCCAUCGUAAGAUGUGAGGAAGGUGGGGAUGACGUCAAAUCAGCACGGCCCUUACGUCCGGGGCUACACACGUGUUACAAUGGGGGGUACAGAAGGCAGCUACCUGGUGACAGGAUGCUAAUCCCAAAAACCUCUCUCAGUUCGGAUCGAAGUCUGCAACCCGACUUCGUGAAGCUGGAUUCGCUAGUAAUCGCGCAUCAGCCAUGGCGCGGUGAAUACGUUCCCGGGCCUUGUACACACCGCCCGUCAAGCCAUGAAAGCCGGGGGUACCUGAAGUACGUAACCGCAAGGAGCGUCCUAGGGUAAAACUGGUAAUUGGGGCUAAGUCGUAACAAGGUAGCCGUACCGGAAGGUGCGGCUG
rnacentral:rRNA from 1 species